CGUUCUUCGUACGUCGCUAACUCGGUUAGCUGGAUUUGAUUGUUGACGAUUUGGCAUGAUCUUGGAUUGUUUGGUUCUUCGAAGCUCAUCCUGGACUUGCUGUCAUAGCAACAGGUCCGUAAGCUUGAACCUGCUCGGGAGCAGGCUUACUUCAUGUAAACAGGAUUAGAUCACGGCUUUAUAAGCGGAGGUGAUAUGGGAAGUCUUUCGCAGACAUGUCUUGUCCGUUUUUACGUCAGGAAUGCGUUGCUGAAGGUACCAGAAUAAUUCAAAGAGCUUUUCGAAUUAAUCGCUUUUUGCGAGAUCGACAGGAUCCUUUAGCGCAGCGCGAUAAUCUACUGAUUGAGAGAUAUCGUUUUUCUCUGGAGGGUGUAAUAUACAUUAUCAACUUGUUGGAGCCACACGUUAAAUGUUCGACUCGUCGCAGUCGGGCUUUAACAACUGCACAGUUUGAAUAGCUUUGCGAUUCUUUGCGAGUGGCACUUUCCUUUACACUAUUGGAGAUGCAGAAUACCUGGGUAAAAAUGCUGUAUGUCGUGCCACUCGCAAAGUUUAUCUGUCACUCAAACAGUUUUUAGGGGGCUUUGUGGUAUUUCCAUGCCACUUAAGACCACAGGCUGUGAAGCAGAUUUUUUUUUGCCAUUGCAGGUACAUUAUAAUUGUUAAUGAAGAUCAUGGAAUCAUGAUCAUGCCAAAAAGUAGCCUAGGACUUACAGUAUUUGUUCCUCAGGCUUCCCUAAUGUUAUUUGUGCCAUAGACUGCACACAGGUCCCCAUCAAGGCCCCACCUGGCCCAAAUGAAGGGGAUUUUUUGAACAGAAAGGGAUUUCACAGUGUAAAUGUGCAAAUGGUGUGCGACUCCAUGUUCCACAUCACAAAUGUGGAAGCCACAUGGCCUGGUUCUGUGGGUGACUCCAAGAUUUUCAGAGAGUCACAUUUAUGCACAUUAUUUGAACGUGGUGCUGACGAUGGGAUCCUGUUUGGCGACAGGGGCUAUGCCUUCAGGCAGGCAGUACUUCAUGACACCAUUCCCUGGACCACAAACCCGUUACAAUGCAGCUCUAGCCAGGACAAGGCCACGCAUUGAAAUGACCUUUGGCCAACUAAAGGAAGAUUUCAGUGUCUUAAGGGUCUGAGGGUUGCACCUGGAGAGGACCCCUGUGGUGGAGGUGCAGCCUGAUGAUGACCUCCAGCCAGUGCACUUGGACCAAUAGUGGCAGAGCUGCACAGGACAGUAUUGUGGAACACGAUUUUAUGAAUUCUUUUUUUUACACAUAAACUUUCAUUAAAUGAAUAAUAGAAGACAACA